rnacentral:rRNA from 1 species
GGCUUAGAAGCAGCCACUCAUUAAAAGAGUGCGUAAUAGCUCACUGGUCGAGUGAUUCUGCGCCGAAAAUUUAACGGGGCUAAACUAUACACCGAAGCUUAGGAUACCGCAAGGUAUGGUAGGAGAGCGUUCUGUACGGAGUGAAGUCGUAGCGAAAGCGGCGGUGGACUGUACAGAAGUGAGAAUGCCGGAAUAAGUAGCGAGAAUUAAGUGAGAAUCUUAAUGGCCGAAAGUCUAAGGUUUUUGGAGGAAGGUUCGUCCGCUCCAAGUAAGUCGGGAGCUAAGGUCAGGCCGAAAGGCGUAGCCGAUGCACAAACGGUUGAUAUUCCGUUACCGUCUAUAAUUUAAACAAAGGGACACAUACAAAGCGUUUAACCCGGGCGAUGGUUGACCCGGGCGCAAGGGACUGAAAUUAGAGUAGGGAAGUAAAUGUGGCGUAUGGCGAGAAAAGCUUUGUGUAUAGAAGUAGACGCCCGUACCGCAAACCGACACAGGUGGACAGGAAGAGAAUUCUAAGGCCAGCGGGAGAAGGGUAGUUAAGGAACUCGGCAAAUUGACUCCGUAACUUCGGAAUAAGGAGUGCUCGAAAGAGCCGCAGAGAAUAGGCCCAGGCGACUGUUUAGCAAAAACACAGGUCUCUGCCAAAUCGAAAGAUGAAGUAUAGGGGCUGACACCUGCCCGGUGCCGGAAGGUUAAGAGGAGGAGUGCAAGCUCCGAAUUGAAGCCCCGGUAAACGGCGGCCGUAACUAUAACGGUCCUAAGGUAGCGAAAUUCCUUGUCGGGUAAGUUCCGACCCGCACGAAUGGUGUAACGAUCUGGGCACUGUCUCAACUACCCACCCGGCGAAAUUGUAGUACCGGUGAAGAUGCCGGUUACCUGCGGCAAGACGGAAAGACCCCAUGGAGCUUUACUGUAGCCUGAUAUUGGGUUUCGGAAAUCUAUGUACAGGAUAGGCGGGAGACUGGGAAGUAUGAGCGUCAGCUUAUACGGAGUCAUUGUUGGGAUACCGCCCUUAGGUUUCUGGAAUUCUAACCUGCGACCGUGAAUCCGGUCGGGGGACAUUGUCAGGUGGGCAGUUUGACUGGGGCGGUCGCCUCCGAAAAGGUAACGGAGGCGCUCAAAGGUUGGCUCAGCACGGACGGAAACCGUGCCUCAGAGUGUAAACGCAAAAGCCAGCCUAACUGCGAGGAUGACGGUCCGAGCAGUAACGAAAGUUGGAGUUAGUGAUCCGGCGGUAUGUGAAUGGAAAUGCCGUCGCUCAACGGAUAAAAGCUACCCUGGGGAUAACAGGCUGAUCUCCCCCAAGAGUCCACAUCGACGGGGAGGUUUGGCACCUCGAUGUCGGCUCAUCACAUCCUGGGGCUGUAUUCGGUCCCAAGGGUUCGGCUGUUCGCCGAUUAAAGUGGUACGCGAGCUGGGUUCAGAACGUCGCGAGACAGUUCGGUCCCUAUCUGUCGUGGGCGCAGGAUAUUUGAGGAGCUCUGUCCUUAGUACGAGAGGACCGGGAUGGACGUACCUCUGGUGCACCAGUUGUCAUGCCAAUGGCACGGCUGGGCAGCUACGUACGGAACGGAUAAACGCUGAAAGCAUCUAAGCGUGAAGCCGACUCCAAGAUUAGAUAUCCCAUUGCAUAAGCAAGUAAGACCCCUUGAGGACUACGAGGUUGAUAGGCUGCGUGUGUAAGUGUCGUGAGGCAUUUAGCUUGGCAGUACUAAUAGGUCGAGGGCUUGACCAC